ensembl:lncRNA
CAAGGCUACAUACCUAGACAAGGGACCACCCACUGUUCUGGAGAAGAGCUGUUAGUUCCAGCUGUCUGCCCUCAUGCAUGCAGCUGUGGGAGGAGUUCCGGAGUCACGACCAGAUUCCUUAAGGGGUUUCAAAACUGGGCCCUUCUGCUGAUAGCUCAGCUGCUUCUGGCUUAGCUCUUCCCACCCCACCUCCAUCCCCACCUCUGUAGGACCCAUUUCCCUUGCUGGGUCACUAACCUCAGAACACCUUGGCCUGGCUAAGAUUUGAGAUGUACAUUCCUCCUCAGUGUUUCCAAUUAGCCAUUUCCCCACAGGAGUUUCUUCAGCCCACCCUGCUUCACCUUUUUCUUACUGAGGGUUUGACUGCUAAUGGCAAAGACAGAUGGAAAUAAAGUAGCCAGCUUGGGAGGAAAUCAGAUUCACAGGGAGUCUGGCCAUCCAAUCCAGAGAAGAUCUGAAUUUUCUUUUACUAGGAGCCAGGAGCAGGAGGACAGGAAAUGGCAAUCCACUCCAAUGUUCUUGCCUGGAGAAUCCCAGGGUCGGGGGAGUCUGGUGGGCUGCCAUCUACGGGGUCGCACAGAGUGGGCCACGACUGAAGCGAUUUAGCAGCAGCAGCAGCCGCCGCAGCAGCCUUGCAAGGCAGGAGACACGGGUUUGAUCCCUGAUCAGGGAACUGAAAUUCUACAUGCCCAGAGACCACUAAGCAGGCACACAGCGACCACUGAGCCUACGUGCCACAGCUGGAGAGCCCCGUGCCACAGCAAAAGAUCCCGCCUGAUGCCACAAAGACACAAGGAUGCAGCCAAAUAAAUAAAUAAA